rnacentral:rRNA from 1 species
UACAUGCAAGUCAACUUGACUUUAGAUAGCAAUAUCGAAAGUAGGGUGGCGCACGGGUGCGUAACGCGUAGGUAAUCUGCCCUGAGGUCUGACAUAACCCGUCGAAAGGCGGGCUAACAUCAGAUGAUAUAUAAUCACGACAUCGUGGAAAUAUCAAAUCUUCGGAGCCUUGGGAUGAGCCUGCGUCUGAUUAGGUAGUUGGCGGAGUAAUAGCCCACCAAGCCUACGAUCAGUAGCUGGUCUGAGAGGAUGAUCAGCCACACUGGAACUGAGACACGGUCCAGACUCCUACGGGAGGCAGCAGUAAGGAAUAUUGCUCAAUGGGGGGAAACCCUGAAGCAGCAACGCCGCGUGAAGGAUGAAAUACUUUUGUAUGUAAACUUCUGUAAGAUGGGAAAAAUAUUCUCCUCGGGAGAAUUGAUUGUACCAUCAGAGUAAGCCCCGGCUAACUACGUG